AAGGACAGGCGCUGAAGCAGCAGAGGCAGUGCCAGCAGAGGAGUGGGCAGCAGUGGAAUGAGAGCAACUCUCCUUGCUGGGGGCUGUCCCCAGGGGAAGGCAAGGCAGCUGGGUGGGUCAGCUUGUGUUCUUCACCGCACUCCCUUUCUGUGUGACAGGAGCUCUGCCAGUGGGGGAGGAGGACUGGGCCCGCUGCAGGAACCAGCAGCCUGGAGUACAGACAUCUGGUAGGAGAAGGACUCUUGUCACUCACUUUUCCAGCACCUUGCGAACCGUUGCUGCUCACGAAGAUUCUCUGCAUGAGUGGAUGCACGAAACAACUCCUCCCCUCCAUUGAGGUUAGCAGCUCAUCCCUGAGGAGGAUGGGAGAGGGUUUUGCGAGCCAUGUAGUGGUCAGAGGUAGGACUAGGAUGGCGGACACAGGCACCUGGCCAUGCAGAGGGCGGGAACGGGGCCGCAGGGUCAGCCAGGCUUCCAUUUCAUUCACUGGCAUCGUCGGUCUUGCCAGGCCUUUGGGGGUGCUGCUCCUUCCCGAGAGUUGUCUCUUCCAAGGCUCAACAGAACAAGCGCAGCUGGACAGACCUUGGGGAGCCUCCCUGCUUCCCCGCAGGAUGGGUGGCUUCUUGUGGGGAGGGACUGUGGGUUCCAUACUUCUUCACACGAGGCCAAAAUAUCCUCAGAUUGGAAAACAGCAAGAAGGGAGGGAACAACCUUCGUCUCCUCCCCAUUCCACAGGGACUUUCCAUGGGGUCUUGGGGUCCCAAGCCAAGAGCUGGUGGAGGGUGGGUAGGUGGGAAGCUAGAAUGGGGCCGGCUACAGCCAGCGGCCUCCUGGCCUGGCCUGUGUGCAGCCAGUUUUCCUUUGUCUUCCCCUGUAGGGAUGUUGCUCUGCCACUUCCUUUG
rnacentral:lncRNA from 1 species